rnacentral:rRNA from 1 species
ACGAACGCUGGCGGCGUGCUUAACACAUGCAAGUCGACGAAAAGAGGGAAAGAGCUUGCUCUUUCCGGAAUUGAGUGGCAAACGGGUGAGUAACACGUAAACAACCUGCCUUCAGGAUGGGGACAACAGACGGAAACGACUGCUAAUACCGAAUAAGUUCCAAGAGCCGCAUGGCCCAUGGAAGAAAAGGUGGCCUCUACCUGUAAGCUAUCGCCUGAAGAGGGGUUUGCGUCUGAUUAGCUGGUUGGAGGGGUAACGGCCCACCAAGGCGACGAUCAGUAGCCGGUCUGAGAGGAUGAACGGCCACACUGGAACUGAGACACGGUCCAGACUCCUACGGGAGGCAGCAGUGGGGAAUCUUCCGCAAUGGGCGAAAGCCUGACGGAGCAACGCCGCGUGAGUGAUGACGGUCUUCGGGUUGUAAAACUCUGUGAUCCGGGACGAAAAGGCAGAGUGCGAAGAACAAACUGCAUUGACGGUACCGGAAAAGCAAGCCACGGCUAACUACGUG